rnacentral:rRNA from 1 species
GACGAACGCUGGCGGCGUGCCUAAUACAUGCAAGUAGAACGCUGAAGCGAGGAGCUUACUCUUCUUGGGUGAGUUGCGAACGGGUGAGUAACGCGUAGGUAACCUGCCUUGUAGCGGGGGAUAACUAUGUGAAACGAUAGCUAAUACCGCAUAACAAUGGAUGACACAGGUCAUUUAGUUGAAAGGGGCAAUUGCUCCACUACAAGAUGGACCUGCGUUGUAUUAGCUAGUGGGUGAGGUAAUGGCUCACCUAGGGGACGAUACAUAGCCGACCCGGAGGGGUUGUCGGCCAAACUGGGACUGAGGCCAGGCCCAGGAUCCUUCGGGGAGCCGCCGGAGGGGAACAUCGGCCAAGGGGGCAAAGCUGACCGCAGAACGCCGGGUGGGGGGAGGAGGUUCUCGGGUCGGUAAGCUCUGUUGUUAGUCAAGAAAGGGUGUGAGAGUGGAAAGUUCACACUGUGACGGUACCUAAAGAGAAAGCGACGGCUAACUACGUG